GAUGAACGCUGGCGGCGUGUCUAAUACAUGCAAGUCGAGCGAACGGACGAGAAGCUUGCUUCUCUGAUGUUAGCGGCGGACGGGUGAGUAACACGUGGAUAACCUACCUAUAAGACUGGGAUAACUUCGGGAAACCGGCGCUAAUACCGGGUAAUAUUUUGAACCGCAUGGCUCAAAAGUGAAAGACGGUCUUGCUGUCACUUAUAGAUGGAUCCGCGCUGCAUUAGCUAGUUGGUAAGGUAACGGCUUACCAAGGCAACGAUGCAUAGCCGACCUGAGAGGGUGAUCGGCCACACUAGAACUGAGACACGGUCCGGACUCCUACGGGAGGCAGCAGUAGGGAGUCUUCCGCAAUGGGCGAAAGCCUGACGGAGCAACGCCGCGUGAGUGAUGAAGGUCUUCGGAUCGUAAAACUCUGUUAUUAGGGAAGAACAGAUGUGUAAGUACCUGUGCACAUCUUGGCGGUACCUAAUCAGAAAGGCACGGCGAACUACGUG
rnacentral:rRNA from 1 species